UGGGGAAUUUUGCACAAUGGGGGAAACCCUGAUGCAGCGACGCCGCGUGUACGAUGAAGAUCUUCGGAUUGUAAAGUACUGUCCUUGGUGAAGAUAAUGACUGUAACCAAGAAGCAAGCCCUGGCUAAAUACGUGCCAGCAGCCGCGGUAAUACGUAUGGGGCAAGCGUUGUCCGGAAUUAUUGGGCGUAAAGGGUACGUAGGCGGUUAUUUAAGUCUAAAUUAAAAGGCAUUGGCUCAACCAAUGUAAGGUUUAGAUACUGGGUAACUUGAGUAGAUGAGGGGAAAGUGGAAUUCCAUGUGUAGCGGUGAAAUGCGUAGAUAUAUGGAGGAACACCAAUGGCGAAGGCAACUUUCCGGAAUCAAACUGACGCUGAGGUACGAAGGCGUGGGGAGCAAACAGG
rnacentral:rRNA from 1 species